rnacentral:tRNA from 1 species
GCAUUGGUGGUUUGGUGGUAGAAAUCCCCCCUUCUGAUGCAGGAGACCCAGGUUCGAUUCCCGGCCAAUGCA